CCUACGGGUGGCUGCAGUGGGGAAUAUUGGACAAUGGGGGCAACCCUGAUCCAGCCAUGCCGCGUGUGUGAAGAAGGCCCUCGGGUUGUAAAGCACUUUCAGUGAGGAAGAACGCCUGGUGGUUAAUACCCAUCAGGAAAGACAUCACUCACAGAAGAAGCACCGGCUAACUCCGUGCCAGCAGCCGCGGUAAUACGGAGGGUGCGAGCGUUAAUCGGAAUUACUGGGCGUAAAGCGCGCGUAGGUGGCUUGAUAAGCCGGUUGUGAAAGCCCCGGGCUCAACCUGGGAACGGCAUCCGGAACUGUCAAGCUAGAGUGCAGGAGAGGAAGGUAGAAUUCCCGGUGUAGCGGUGAAAUGCGUAGAGAUCGGGAGGAAUACCAGUGGCGAAGGCGGCCUUCUGGACUGACACUGACACUGAGGCGCGAAAGCGUGGGUAGCAAACAGGAUUAGAUACCCGGGUAGUC
rnacentral:rRNA from 1 species